rnacentral:rRNA from 1 species
GACGAACGCUGGCGGCGUGCUUAACACAUGCAAGUCGAACGGUAAGGCCCUUCGGGGUACACGAGUGGCGAACGGGUGAGUAACACGUGAGUAACCUGCCCUUCACUCUGGGAUAACAGUUGGAAACGGCUGCUAAUACCGGAUAUUCAGCUCCUGUCGCAUGGUGGGGGUUGGAAAGUUUUGGUGGUGGAGGAUGGGCUCGCGUCCUAUCAGCUUGUUGGUGGGGUGAUGGCCUACCAAGGCGUCGACGGGUAGCCGGCCUGAGAGGGCGACCGGCCACAUUGGGACUGAGAUACGGCCCAAACUCCUACGGGAGGCAGCAGUGGGGAAUAUUGCACAAUGGGCGGAAGCCUGAUGCAGCAACGCCGCGUGCGGGAUGACGGCCUUCGGGUUGUAAACCGCUUUCAGCAGGGACGAAGCGCAAGUGACGGUACCUGCAGAAGAAGCACCGGCUAACUACGUG